GUCAGUGUGGCAACAGGACGCAAGAGUGGGACCGAUGAUUAUUUUGCCAGCAAAGCAGAAAAGUGGGCGAAUACCUGCAGAGGAGCUUCCUGCUGUUCUUGAUCAAGUCACUGGACCCUCACGGUAUGGAAGCCAGUGGAGAAGUGUAAGAAAAGACAACAUUGAUGGUGAUGCUGGUAUAAACGCUGUCCUUCUAGAAAAGUCUUCCCCUGAGGACGACGUAAAGUCAAAGGCGGCAGCAGCGCUGGAUGAAAUCAGGACGGCAGCCCUCGAGGAUGUCAUCCCAAAUGCUCAGUUUACUGUGGAUGUGACACAAAUGUCAAAUGAAACCGGAAAUGUGCUUUGAGAUACAAAAAUGAAUUAAACAGAUGUUUCCUUAAAAUGGAA